rnacentral:rRNA from 1 species
AGCCACAGCCAUAUCACCCUGAACUCACUGAAUCUAAGCUGGGCUGAGCCUGGUCAGUACCUGGAUGGGAGACCACAUGAGAAAACUAGGUUGCUGUUGGAA